UACGGAUUCGACAGGGGUAGUUCGAGCUCAGGUUGCGCGUCGAGGUUACGGCUCGUAAAACGUUAAACGCCUUAUAAAUGGCAAAGAAAACAAUUACUCUUUAGCAGCUGCGUAAGUAGCACUAAAGGAUCCUUCCUGCCGUCGCCCGUGGGGCAGAUUGAAGGGUCUCAACUUUAAGCGGGCUAUUACGAACAUCCACCGUCUGAGGAUGCUCGUUGAAUCUAAUCAGACUAGCUUUCACAACGCCUGUUGGUAGGCAGAGUGAUAAGCGAAAUACGAAUAUACCAACUACACGUGUAGAAGCCUGAGUGGCGUUGCCUCUGGACGUGGGUUCGAUUA
rnacentral:tmRNA from 1 species